AAGAGGAGGAUGAAAAUACUUCUCCACUAACAUCUACUUGGAGGUGCAGUAAAUUGAGCAAAAUUACAGUGAAUCUACCACAGAAAGAAUCAAAAACGCAGUCUGGGGUUGAACUACAACCUACAAGUGCUGAAACAGCUUCAGUAGACGAAAAGGCUUCAGGUGAAGCAACAGCAAAGAAUGAUACUCCAGCCAAAGUAGGCCUUCCCAAUGACAAGAGUGAAAAUGCAAUGAUAGAAGGAAAUUUGUGAAGGGAAGGCUCACGUGGAAGCAUGCAAAAAUAUCCAUUUGGUGCUGUGAGAAAUGUUCAACAAAUGGAAGGAACCAAGGAUAUCAUAAUGCAUGAUUGUAUGUAAAAACAUAACCAGUCCACUGUUAUUGUAAUAGCAUGUGUUAUUAAAAAAUACCGUAUUAUUUAUUGUAAUGGUAAGAAGUUUUAACUACAUAUGUCUGUAAUAUACGUCCAUAAAGCAUGUAAUGCAACGUUACAUAAGACUUUCAGUGUGAUGUCAGUGUAUCACUUUCACUGAAUGCUCUACAUCAUCCUCGCUAAAAAAAAAAACUGGUACAAGUAGUUCAUACGUUGUAACUAAGCACUUGUUUUGAAUUUUAAAAUACAAGAUAUUUGUAAUGAAUAUAUUCUGUUUUUGAAGGGUGUUGGAAACAUGACCUUGAACCUAACAGUGAGGUCAACUUAUUACUGAAACUAGCUUAAUUACAACCAAAUGCAAAAUUUAAAGACAUUUACCCUACAUAUAUAUUACAUAGGUAGAUCAUCAUAGUAUAUACUAUAUUAUAUUAUUUACUAUCUACAUUGUUCCUAUUGCUGUAUCUAUUUUAAACAAGUUUUCAAACAGUAAUUUUCCUAGGGCAACAUCUAUAUUUUAUGCUCUCUGAUCUGGAUAAGUAAAUAUCAUUUAUAUUUUCUAUAGGACCACACAUCAUCUACACAUAAUGAGUGAAUAAAACACAUUUAUUUUUAUUCACUCCUGA